UGGAUUAUGUGACACUUGUAGGGUGUGAUUUUUUCAUUGGAGUUUUUAUACUUUUUUCUUUUGUACAAUGUUGUUCCCCAUAGAUGGCAGUUCUAUCAGAAGCUUUAUAUCCAUUCUGCAUAAAAACUUUAGAUUAAAAAUUAUCUCAAUCACACAAUUACAUAGUUUACAUUUGGUCCAAUUUGUAAACAAAAAGUACCGUAAUUUAAUACUGUUAUGUCUCCUUCUAAAUAAAAACAGCUACAUCAGACACACAAUUGCAAGUGGCUAUCAGUAGAGCAUCCAGCAUUUUAAGCCUUUCUGGGUGUUUCAGAAAAAUCACCUUGGAAAAUAAAGGAGCUGUUACCAAAGAUGUGGCACAUUGGUAUGUGUUACAGAGAACAAGAACUCCAUUUGAAAGAUUUCAAGAAGGACUGCAGAGCCUUGGAGUUCUUUCAGCAUUUCAGCAGUUUCCACAGAAGCUUCAAUCCCUUUUUAUUAAAUUGGAGAAAAAAUUAACAACUAUUGAGGUUGAAC